CUGCCCUGCUUUCCAAUAAAGGAGAAUUAAUAUUUGCCUUUUUGUUUUGACAAUCAGAUACUUGUUGGCAACUAGCAUAUCUUUUUAAAAUUACCAUGGAAAUAUACUUUUAGGUCUUAAAACUAUAAAACAGUGCAGCUAGGGAAGGAAAAAAUUCAUUCAGGAUUAUCUGUUCUUAGUAUUUUAGCAGUGUUACUGCUGUGUAGUAGAAUGUUA
rnacentral:lncRNA from 1 species